rnacentral:pre_miRNA from 1 species
GAAAACAUGAAAACUACUGUUGAAUCGAGAAAUGGACGUCCGAGAUUCGUCCACGUCACCCUGAGUUAAAAUUUAACUAGGAGUUUUAACUCAGGGUGACGUGGACGAAUCUCGAACAUUCAUUUCUCGAUCCAACGGUAGUUUCCAAGUUUUC